UACGAAGGGGGCUAGCGUUGCUCGGAAUCACUGGGCGUAAAGGGUGCGUAGGCGGGUUUUUAAGUCAGGGGUGAAAUCCUGGAGCUCAACUCCAGAACUGCCUUUGAUACUGAAGAUCUUGAGUCCGGGAGAGGUGAGUGGAACUGCGAGUGUAGAGGUGAAAUUCGUAGAUAUUCGCAAGAACACCAGUGGCGAAGGCGGCUCCCUGGCCCGAUACUGGCGCUGAGGCACGAAAGCGUGGGGAGCAAACAGG
rnacentral:rRNA from 1 species